rnacentral:rRNA from 1 species
UACGUAGGGUGCAAGCGUUGUUCGGAAUUAUUGGGCGUAAAGCGCGUGUAGGUGGUUAAACAAGUCGGGUGUGAAAGCCCUCAGCUCAACUGAGGAAGUGCAUCCGAAACUGCUUAGCUAGAGGAUGGUAGAGGAAGGUGGAAUUCCUAGUGUAGAGGUGAAAUUCGUAGAUAUUAGGAGGAAUACCGGCGGCGAAGGCGGCCUUCUGGGCCAUUCCUGACACUGAGACGCGAAAGCGUGGGUAGCAAACAGG